AUUGGGAAUCACGUAACAUUUACAAUCCACUUCUAUGCAAGGCAGUCUUGUGCUAAAGAAUUGCUAAAAGAGACAGUGCCUUUUGAAUGCACCAUAUGUGUUAUUCAAAAGCAGUGGCAAGUCGAAGCUCCUAUCUUAAUCCUCGCUUGUUAUUAUGGAAGCCUGGAUCCAACUUUUGAAGGAUAAGAGAUUUCACAGAUCAUUGAUUACAAAGGCAAUAGCCAACACCAACACCCCAGACAUGAGAGGGAUGCUACCUUCGAUGCAGCCUCCCUGCCCGGCCCCAGUCAAGCCACCGAUGACUGCUACUACCUGAGCAAGCCCAGGAGUGGGACUGGUGGCUCUGUAAGAAGAGGAGGAGGCACCUGAGCUGGCACACUCAGCUCCUUCACCAUGUGAUGCCCUGCACCACCUCAAGACUGCAGAGUCCUUACCAACAAGACGGCACUCACCAAAUGCAGCCCUUAGACCCUGGACUUCUCAGUCUUUUUAACUCUGAAGACUUCGCCUUAUAUGUCAAUAGAGAAAGUAAGAAUGGCCAGUGGGAAAUUCUUCAGCCCUUCACCACCGCUUCUACAUACAAAGAAGAUUCUAAAGAAAAUGACCUCAAUCAGAUGGCAGCAUAGGAGUUUUUGGUGCUCAUCCCCUAACGGAAGCAUCAGUUUGAAUAAGCAUCCAUGCAGGCUGUACCUUCAUGAGAGCUAAGGAUUCCAGGUGAGAGAUUAUAUCACCUCAAUUGAACACAGCAAUAAGAAAAGAAACACUGAAGAUAGCAGAGGACACAAUUUCACUUUACCCAUGUCACCCCCUCCUCCAAGCCCAUGUAGUGCAGCUCAGAGAGACAUACCCUUCUCAUGGGGAAAAGAGAGUGAAAUGAGUACCCAACUUCACCACCAACCCCAGGACCAGACCCAGAAAAUCCCAACACCGAGCCAGCCCCUGUGGAUACAAGCUCCAGGCCCACCUGCCCACUGACCCAGACACUGGGCCAGCCUGCCCAAGAACUCCAAAA
rnacentral:lncRNA from 1 species